rnacentral:lncRNA from 1 species
UUUGUAUAUUGGUCCUUUUCCUUGUUUAUUUCAAAAUUAAAAUUGAUACUUAAGAACCGUCAACAAAGACCCCCAUACUUAGGCUUUUACUUGUCCUCGAGAAAAAGGAUGGUUAAGAAAGAUAUCUGGGGUCAAAACAUUGUAAAACAUUCUCUUCAUACUUGCAGGGUGUUGUAAAAAAUCACUGUGUACCCUAUUCAGGGAAAUAUAUGGUCAGGAGUAGAGGUCCUUUCUUCUCAAUCCUGUCACUUGGAGUUUUUGUUUAUUUUUGAAAAGAAAUUUAGCAUACCUUUAUCCUCAUAGGUUCUCUUAGGUCACUCAUUAUCUUUUAUAUAUCUCGCUGAGGCUGUUUUAAUGUGCAGAAAUUCUUAAGCAUUCUUUUCUUGCAUUUAUUGCGUGGUCAAAACGGGAUCCGAGGAGAAGAAUGCCAUACUCUUAGAUCAAAGACUUUGGAAAUUAAAAACUUGUCAACUCUUACUGGCAUAUUGCUUAUUAGAGGGACCAUAGGCUAUCUUUUUCCUUUUUUCUCUUUUUUUUCAGGUGGAUACCGAGGUACUCCUAAUUCUACUGCCGGACACUUGUCCAUUUUUUCUGCGUGGUUGUCGAGCACUUGCUCCUUUUUAUUUCCUCGAAAUAUUCAUAUUUUUGCAUAGCCCAUGCCUCUAACGUAAUAAUACUUAGGAAGAGUGAAUCUUUCUGAAUAAAAUGUCUUGAUCUUAGGAGUAUGAUAAAUCUCUCAACAAGGGUCUAACUCAUUUUGAACAAACUCAAUACAGAGUAGAUAGCUUUUAUAAUUAUUAAUAUUUAAUUUUUAGGUUUACCAGGCAUAUAAAACAUUGAGGAUGGUAGAUAGAAUUUUUUGAAGAUUUUGAAAUAAAUUCUCCAAGCAACAAAGAUAUCAAGAAUAAGAUACUCAUACUCUACCAUCUCACAUUCCACAGUGACUUAAGUACACAUGGUUUUUAAAUGAUUUUUAAUAAUUUCAAGUUAUGAGGAAAUAUCACAGAGUGAGAUUAAUCAUGAUUAGAAACAUUUUAAUCUUGUUAAUUUAUCAUGUCGGAGACAAUCUUCUGCAUGAACCAAGAUAUAUGUGCUUGUAUAACAUGUGCAGAGUAUGUAUCUGAAUUAUGGAGUAGUGUAGUCGAAGUGUGUUGGCAUGUCGAGGGAUCUCCCCCAUACUUGUUUUCUGCUUUCUUGCAUAAAAAAUAAAGUAGAGACACACAAGACAUAAUAAUAAUAAUAAUAAUAAUAAUAAUAUUUAUUAAUCUUGAGGCAUUUAUUACAAAUGACUAGUAAUGAACUGAAGCUAAUAAUAGAUCUAAACCGAAUUUAAAGAUAACUAACUAAGAUGCGCUGCCUCAAGAUCUAAUCUAGAUAACUUAGCGGCGCCCUAACUCCCUGAUCUUCUUAUUGGCACUAACA